GGUAGAAUGGCUGAGCCAUAGGCGAUAAACUGUAAAUUUAUUCACGAAUUUUAAAUUCUUCUACCA
rnacentral:tRNA from 1 species